rnacentral:rRNA from 1 species
CCUACGGGUGGCAGCAGUGGGGAAUAUUGGUCAAUGGAGGCAACUCUGACCCAGCAACGCCGCGUGAAUGAUGAAGGUCUUCGGAUUGUAAAGUUCUUUUCUCAGGGAAGAAGCAAGUGACGGUACCUUAGGAAUAAGCCUCGGCUAACUACGUGCCAGCAGCCGCGGUAAUACGUAGGAGGCAAGCGUUAUCCGGAUUGACUGGGCGUAAAGGGGGCGUAGGCGGUUUGACAAGUUGGUAGCGAAACGCCGGGGCUCAACCUCGGCACUACUACCAAAACUGUCGGACUUGAGUGCAGGAGGGGCAAUUGGAAUUCCUAGUGUAGCGGUGGAAUGCGCAGAUAUUAGGAGGAACACCAGUGGCGAAGGCGAAUUGCUGGACUGUAACUGACACUGAGGCACGAAAGCGUGGGGAGCAAACAGGAUUAGAUACCCGGGUAGUC